AACAUCUUCCCAAAGAAAGAGAGUGGUAUUAUCCAAGACGAAUCAACCAUUAUGACGCACCAAAAACGACGACGAACAAAUGAAAUCAACUACAUGACAAAUGCUUUCGUUCCCGUUGUCAAACGAAGAUGGUCGGCCGUGCGCAUGCUCGCCGAUUCUUGCUGUCGAUCAAACUGUGACAUUUUCAAAAUUUGCCCCUGACGAAAGCAACGUAGUCCUACCUACCUCCACUAGCAACGAUGGCGUACCUCUUGUUGCCAAGUUUAUCCAUCACAACGACAUCCAAACAACCAUUGUUAUGAAAUUCCCUCCUCUCUCUCUCUCUUCCUCUCUCUCAAACUGCUGCUUAACCUUUGUUCUUGAUAACUGCUGUAUUUCAAAUGCCAUUUAGCGAUCAUGUUACCCAAAUGUUCAGUAUAUCUGCUGCUCCUUUGAACCUUUAAUUGUGUAAAAAAAAUAAUAAAAGACCAUUAAAUUAUGAAAGAAAUUGCCAAAA